GAUGAACGCUGGCGGCGUGCCUAAUACAUGCAAGUCGAGCGAACGGACGAGAAGCUUGCUUCUCUGAUGUUAGCGGCGGACGGGUGAGUAACACGUGGAUAACCUACCUAUAAGACUGGGAUAACUUCGGGAAACCGGAGCUAAUACCGGAUAAUAUUUUGAACCGCAUGGUUCAAAAGUGAAAGACGGUCUUGCUGUCACUUAUAGAUGGAUCCGCGCUGCAUUAGCUAGUUGGUAAGGUAACGGCUUACCAAGGCAACGAUGCAUAGCCGACCUGAGAGGGUGAUCGGCCACACUGGAACUGAGCCACGGUCCAGACUCCUACGGGAGGCAGCAGUAGGGAAUCUUCCGCAAUGGGCGAAAACCUGACGGAGCAACGCCGCGUGAGUGAUGAAGGUCUUCGGAGCGUAAAACUCUGUUAUUAAGGAAGAACAGAUGUGUAAGUAACUGUGCACAUCUUGACGGUACCUAAUCAGAAAGCCACGGCUAACUACGUG
rnacentral:rRNA from 1 species